CUGCUGCCUGCGUCCUCUGCCAUUGUGCCAGUCCCCUCCGGUCCCGGCCGCAGCCUGCAGCCUGCAUUGCCCGCCUGCGUAGCUCAUCUGCCAGCGCAUCUGCACCAGCCAGAUUUUAAGUGCCCGAAGUGGAAUGAUCUGUGCCACUCUUUUCUAAGAGAUGCUAUUUAUAACCUCGGAGCAGGCCUGUGGAGUUAUUUCUGAAGAUACGGUUGAAGCUUUUGGAACAUGCUUUAAUACGCCUUUCGCGUCUCUCCUUGUCAAUGGGGGACUUGUCCCCAAGAUAGUCACCCAAGCACAGUGCUGAAACAUCACACGACUUUGACAGAUAGAGAUCCGAACUCCCAGUGGCUUCGAUAGCAACCUGGAUGUAAUAGGAAUUAUUGAUCGUCUUUGAGAGAUGAAAAACUGAGUCUUCUCUAGGUGAAGCUUCUCCUUGGGUACCGGGAUGGUGAGUGCCGAGGACAGCCUCAUUCAGAGGGAAGCCCGCAGUAGUUCUACUCCAGCCCACACGUCUCUGCUUACGAAGUGAUUGCAUUCCUUUUCGGUUCCUAUUUGUGUCUGGCCGUGCUACGCGGUCUCCUCAUCGACGGAGGGAGGGCAGCUUCUGACUUUUGGGGUUGGGAAAAUGGCUCAGCAUGGAGCCUAACCAGAGAGAGCACACGGGGAUGCCGAGGCCACUGUCGCUUUGACGUGAGUCACAGAGCGGGAAACAGAGCCAUGGUGACACGGAGCGACCAUACCUUCCGGUGGGUAAGGGACUUGUGCCACAGAAGCCCUCCUUCCCUCUGGUCCAUUAGGUGGAAGAAUGGAAUGCAUACAUUGAUUUUCCAGCCAAUAAGCAGACAAAGACCAAGAAGGAAAACAGGCAUGGAAAAUUGUGUGUCGAUACUUAGAGAAACAAGGUGAUUGCAGUAAUUGAGCAGAACCAAAAGAAGUCACACAAGUAAUUAUGAACUCUUCUUAGGGUAUCCGUGCCGAUCUGAUUUCCCGAUUUUAAAACGGGCUGGGUGGGAGUCUGUAGACCCCCAACCUUCAUCUCAGACCGACCGAAUUCACGUUAGGUAGAUUAGCAAGUCUCUCCAAGGAACAAAAAAUCAUAUUAAGAGUUUUAACAAGAAACCCAUUUGUAAUAGUGGCCCAGCGUUUCACAAGACCAGGGGCUCCUCAUGGCUGUCAUGGUACCAAAAGAUCCCUUACUCUUUUGUGUCGCCAAGAUGGGGAAAAGACAUUCAUUCUGGAAAGGACUUAACCUUUGCCAGGGAAAAUGAGAGGGAGAGAGGGCAGAAGAAUGGAAAAGGGAGGCCAGAGCGUGGGAGGGAAGGGUGAGAAUUCAGAGGAUAUGUAUUUGAGAGUAAGGAGGAGAAAGAAUUCAAGUGUGUGUACCUCACACACAGAAGUCCCCCAGCCACAACCCCAUGUGCUCCUGAAGGUUUAGAGAGAGGAGGGAUCCCAGGGGAACUGUCUUUGUGUGCUUGGUGAUAGCCCAGACACUCCUGCACUCUCAGUGAAAGGGAUCCUACUGCGAUGGACAUCGGAUUUUCCCAUAUCAGGCAGGAGGGAGAUGACAAUGUGGUCCCCUAGCCAGUCAGAAGCAGAGCAAGGUUGAUACCUGCCCCAAACUUUGUUUUCAUUGUGUUGCAACAUUCAAUGGCAACGCCACUGUCCCGGGUCGGCUGGGACAGUAAAACCAGACAAGACCGCAGAUUUUAAGCCCCUUGAACACAGACUUGUAGCUAAUCCAUGCUUAGAAAUGUUAGUGUAUCUUCAACCCCUCAUGAAGCCGUAAGCAUGUGUGCAGACUAAUGCCUCCCAGUUAGUUACCAAGCCAGGCUUACUUCAGACGUUUGUACUUAGGGAGAGAAAGCAUUUUUUUUUCUUUAAUAGGAGAAAAACUUUAAUUUUAUGAAAUAGCCUCUAAGAGACUCUCCGAUGUUGCUGAGAAUUGAGUUCUCGGUUCCAUUACAAAUGAAAACAAUAGAAACUGCUGGCCAAGGCGGCGCAAUCAAUUACAGGUGACUGUCGGGAGUGGUAUUUACCGGGGAAGCAAUCGGGAAGCACAGCAAUAUUGAAACACAGUGGGAGUUGCAUUGUUCCUUAAUGCCUCUGGCCCUCUGGAUACAUACAGAUGUGUACAGAUGUGCGGGAUACGGGUUUCUUUAAAGCUCGCUCUCCUAGCUCCUGAGGGAUUUCAAUUCAUCUCCAUACUGUGCAGGUUGUUCUUAGUAGAGUGUGUGCCUUAGGAGUCGGGGACAGCGAGGCUUGGGAUGCAAAGGCGGAUCCUGUUGAUGCACAGGAAACACACUGAAGCUAAGUAGAGCUGUGUAAAUUAACACCAUCUGGGUUAAUAAGGCCGAUGUUGACAGAGUUUAAAAUUGCUUCCUCAAUUAAAGAGCCCGGGGAAAUCUAUAUGUUUGGGUCUCAAGGAGGACACACCAGAGAGUGCUAAAGAGUCUUUGUUUUGCUAAAAAUAAAGAACCCAGGGCUUUACUUCACACAUUUUGAGAGGAAGGAGUUGGUGUGAAAUAACCUGAACCAAUGGGACCCCACCCCUGGGCCUUCGCAGCAGCAGACUGUCGAAUAGACAGGCUACAUUAUUGCUUUGGCAGACUGACACAGCUUUGGCACAUUCCUCUGCAAGGAUUGGGAAGAUGCUCAUUUCCUUAGCCCCAGGGCUCCGGGCCUGCUUUGUAUUCAGCCUUCAUCAUUCUGUUCUAUGAUCACUACUAUUCCAUUUUACAGAGUAGAAUGUUGAGGCACAGAAAAAUCAAGAAGCACCCUGCCACAUGGCCAGGGAGUGGUAGUCUGUAGAAGGGUGUGCUUCUGUGCUCACACCCAGGCAUGCUGGGGCUCUAGACUUUACAGCUGGGCCCAGUGGGUCUCCGCUGACUCUGUACCAUCGUGACAACAGUGUAGCACGGUGUUCGGCCCACAUCAUUGGCAUUUCUCAUCACAAUCCUGGCUGGGGCUAGCCUGGUCUUCUAUCUCCCGUUAGUAUUCCAACUAACAGAAAGUUUACUUGACUUUACACAAUUAAGUUUUGGAUAUAAAUAUCAACAGUUAAUUCAUGGAGAAGCUUUGUCUCCCACAAUACUAUACUAAAAUAGUAACCUAGACUGUUCUUCCUUUGAACAUGAGUUGGAAGGUCCAGUCCUCCUUGGAGUCAUCUUCCCAAGGUGACCCUCAUCUGAGAGCAUCUUCCACAAUCUCCAACACCCUUAGCCUGCUGGCAGCUUUUGGAACUGGCUGUUCACAUCUUUCUCCAUGAAGAGGAAGACCCCGUUUUCCUCAUCGUGACCCAUCAUUUUUUUCUUCAUCUGUUUUUACUUAGUUAUCCCUACUUCUGGGUCUGCAGCUCAGGAUCUGGGGUCAACUCGGAGUGCUUAGGGUUUUAGAGACCCUGGGGCGCUAUGUGUAAAUCUGAUGAACAUACUUCCACAUGGAUGGGAAAACAAGGUCUAUGACUUAAAUCAGAUUAUCAAAGAGGUCAUAUGCCUCCUGGAAAAUUUAAAUUAUGUGGCACUGUGGUGGUCUGAAAGAAAAUGGCUCCCAAAGGGUGUGGCACUACUUGGAGGUGUGGCCUUGUUGGGGGGAGUAUGUCAUGGUGAGGGUGAGCUUUGAGGUCUCUUUUGCUCAAGCUUUUCUCAGUGUGUCACUCAGUCUACUUCCUGUUGCCUCUGAGUCAAGAUGUAGGACUCUCAGCUCCAGCACCGCAUCAGCCUGUGUGCCGCCAUGUUCCCCAUCCUGAUGAUAAUGGAAUGAACCUCUGAAACUGUAAGCAAGCAAGCAAGCAAUUAAAUAUUUUUAUUGAUAAGAGUUGCCACGGUCAUAAUGUCUCUUCGUAGUAAUAAAAAAGCCGCAGGCGCUAUGAAUUUCCAUAGGGUGAGAAGGUUGUUCCUAAGAUACUUUGAGUCCUCUCUAUAAUCUUGGCUCUAUUUCAUAAGUCACACUCCACUUGGUUUUUCGUUAUGCAAGGUAGUAGAAUAACAAGAUGGCGGGGCACUGCCUACUUACAAAUUUUGGACUCCAAUACCAUGAGAAACUUUUGUGGAGAAUGUCUACAUGUCCAUUGCGUUCCAAAAGUACAGAUUGCCCCAUCUUUUCUUCAUAGGUUAAUUUUCAAACACUAUUUAUAAAGUUAUUACUUUUAGUGGGCACUCCAGUCAGAGAUUUGUAACUGUCACAUUAAAAUGAAGAUUGCUGACUUAAAUAUUGCGAAGAUCUACUGAAACUGGACUUGCGUGAAAACACAUGCCCAAGCUAAAUGUGCUUUCAGGUGAGCCAGCGUCUCCCUAUCGCCUCUUCCGGCACCCUCCUCCCCUGUGUACUUUCUUAUUGUUCUCACGUAUUUUUCCACCUUAGAGAAUCACAUUUCUCCUACCCAGUCAUCUCAUUCUUGUAGGCAUCCCUGUCACCCUGUUCUGCAGCUGUAAGAUUAAAAUCCUAGAAGGGGAGAGGGGGAAAGGACUGUGUUCCUGAGGUUAACUCCACAGGCUAGGAGUCUAGAGGGCCCUCAGCUGCAACCUGUUGUUGAGCUCCCAGCUCAGCCUUUCUCACGCCUCCUGCCCUGCAGGGGAAGCUGUGGUCCUCCCAUGGGCAUUCCCCAACUCCACACACUUGGAGCCCACAAACAGGGUCUGAGCUUCGGAUAUGAAAGUGAGAGGAAUCUUUUUGUUCCAGGCACUUGGUGGGGUCAGACUGAAGCCAAGAGUCCAGCUGAGAAGGCUGAUAUCUAGCUGCCCUUCCGGGCCUGCUGUGUUUCCCGCCUCCCAUAUUCCUAGGGCGCCUACCCAGCCAGUUUUCCUACCUGCAGCUGAUCUAGGAAAUUCAACCAGAAAGGACACUGUCUGCUGAAAUCUUGAAAACAAUUGCAGUUUGUGGCUAAGCAGCUCCAGUUUUGUGAUAGAGUAAGGGAAAACCAGAAUUUAAAACAGCAUUAUAAAGUCUCGGGGCCCUUUCGUUACCAGGAAUACCGAUAUUCUAGAAAUGGCAAGAAAAUGCACGCAGCUCCCACGGAGUACCGUAUUGAGGAUGACUCAUGUCACUUUCAAUUUUCAGAGGCCAGUAAACGGCAGCGUGAGGAAGCGGCCAGUAGCAUCAAAAGCAACGGUUUUGUCUUAUGUAAGCAUCAAACUGAGAAGUUAACUCCCAUGAAUGAAGAUGAGCAGCAGAAACUAUUCUGGAAUUCAAGCAUCGCCAGGGAUGACCACAAGCGGAAGACAGAGGCGAGAAUACUGUCAUAGUGUCUUUCCAGCUUUGCUACGAUUUUCUUUGAAUUUCUGUGGCUGGUUGCAUGCUUGCAAAUCUCCUCCACGAGAAUAGAACCCCUGGAGACUGCAGUGCCAAGCUCAUUAUGGAAUGCUUUUCUUUUGCUUACAUACCUGGUGGGAAGCAGGGUGCCGAGCUGAGAUGCGCGAAGCAAGCAACUCAAGGGUGGAUUUGGGCAGUACAUUGCUGCUAGACUGUGGUCUGGAGAAUCUAAGUGUUUCAUCAUCACGUGGGAGUCCCUGCAAAGUACAGGCGCUGGCUCUACCCUAAGCCUGUUGUAGCAGGAUUGGUGUUCUUACAAGAUUUCCAGUAAUGUCAUAACAGCAAUGAGCUGCUUCUUGGGUGAGACAUGGUUGCUAUCUCUUUCUCAUCAUCAUGGCUGCUCCCUGGCCUGUGGGGAAGCUGAAGAUAGUCAAACAGAAGACCAAGAAGUUCAUCCAGCACAGAUUAACCAGGCCAGGUCUCCUAAGAGGACGCAUAAUUCCUGAAAAUUAGAACAGCCUGCUCACCUUGAAUGUCUGGAAAUUGACAUUCUGUGCGGCUAUCUGCAGUCAUAAGCCUGGAUACUUGCCGGAAGCCCCGCUGUUUCGAGCAGUUACUGAGGCCAGAGAAGCUGGGAGAGAGAGAGAGAGGAGACUGCACAGUAUCUCAGCCAUUCUGUAAUAUCAAAUCUGAAAGAGCUGUGAACACCAAUACACGCGUUGCCCCCUCUUUCUCUGAUUGGUAAUGACAACAAGUCAUUGUUUAUGGGUGGGGAACACUAAAGUGGUCUUUCCGGAUGGUGUAACGGGGGCAGGAAAUCAUUUUAUGAUGCCACAGCGCUACAGUUAAUGCAAGGAGGGUGUUAGCCGCCAUGGGAUAGCGCAGUUAGCACUGUCUGACUUCUCUCAGAAGUGCAGCAUCUAAGAGAACAGAAGAGGGAAGAAAACAACGUGUUAUACAUAACACAGAGGCCAGUAAAGGAUAAGUAAAACCCAUUUCAAACCAGACCAGGAUAACUUGCAGCAUUUAUUUCUCCCUAAUGGAUGCCGGGGCUGAACCAGCGUGUCUAAUCUUAAUGUUUGGGCACCAGUAGAUAAUGUGUAACUCACCUAGGUUUCCCACACUUCUGCUGCUGUUCAACUACCCUUCUAUCGACGUGUUUAAAUUCAGAUUGAUUUGUUUACCCAAUGGAUAGUUACUGAACACCUACCAUGUCUUGGGUUCUGGCUUCUGUUUUGGUACCGAGAAAAAUAAGCUCCCAUAGCACCCAGUAGUGGAUGAACGUGACAAACACAUGCAAGAGAAGAGGCAUCGCAGUGCUAGGGAAUUGGCUUUACAACCUAUGUUUGGAGCAAGAGGGAGGAAGGGUCGGUUCUGUGUGACAGGAUGUGGACUAAGGGAACUUAGAAAAAUCUUUGAGUAAGAACUGCUCGGGCCUGGCAGUGAAGUUUUACAAUAUCCGUGUAUCUGUUUUAUUAUACUUGACCCAGACCGUAAUCUUGGUUUUCAUAUUUACAAGCAUGAAUUGAGCACCUCUCCCAUGCCAGGCUCCGAGCUAGGAACUUUCAAUCUGAACUAGGGGUAGGUGUAAAUUGGUGUUUGCACAAGAGAAGUGCAGCCCAGGAUGUAAUUCACCAAUGUUAGUUUGCUCUUAGUUUCUUUUCUUCAGGUUCCUAAGUCCUUCCCUCUCUACAUGGGACUAACUAGUCCCCAGACGUCAGAACCUAUUUCAGUUCACUGAGCUCCUGAGAGGGUUGUUACUUCCUAGCUGGGUGGGACCAUGUGAUUAGUCCUGCCCAAUGAGGUGUGAGCACAGUCAGGUUGCCACUCUGUUGGGAUAGUACCAAAGGCAAUACUAGGCCAGAGAGAACAUGUUGUCUUUCUGUCAAUCAUCCUGCUCCAUCAGUCUGGGUUGCCAAGUAGCCUUUAUUUGUAGAGGCCUUUACUGAGCCACAGUGGACAACUAAAGUAACCAAGAAGUAAAUAUUAGUCUCUUAAGUCCCCGAGAUUUGGGGCCGUUCUUCACCACAUGUCCUGAUGCGGUGUCCUGAUGAUAUACUUUGUUAGGAAGGCAUCCAUAUAACUUGAGUAAGUCAUACUUCCUAUCUAAAGAUAUGAAUUUCUCCCUCUAAUACAUAUACUCUUUCAUUAAAAAUCCAACAGUAUUAUAUGUUUAACAGAUUAGGAAUAAGAGGAAAUGAAAUGCUGUAUUGAAAUGUCCAAAUGAAAAUGUCUUAUAUAUUUCUAUAUCCUAAGGGCCUAACACAAUGAAAAUAAAUUCCUGUGGGAAGAAUAAAUGAAUAAAUGAACCAGAGAUCAUCAUAGGAAGAAGUAAGGGGAAAUGCUGAAAUGGUACAAUUCUUUGUAUUGACACUGUCUUGCCUAAAGCCUUCCCUGAUGGCUGCCUCUCUUUUCAUCCAGUCCAACUAAAAUAAUUCUAACUCAGACAAGACAGUUUUCCCUCAAAUUAAGUUUUUCCCCAGUCCCUAUUUUUUCUCUUUGCACUGUCCCUGAAUUUGCACCAAUUCCUUUGCCUUCAUUGGAGGAAGUUCCUGGCUGUCUCACUUAAAAGUCCAGUUUGCUGCAGUCCUUAGAUAUGGCUAGCAACCCACAGACACUGGCCUGAGAAUGUCUGCAGACACACAUGUCUCUAGAAAACACCUCUUUGAUGAAGCAGUUUCCCUCCCUGCUCACACAUAACAAUUUUAAGAUUGUGUCUUGGUAAGAUGAUGAUUACUUGCUGCCUGAAUAAUUUCUCUCUCUCUCUCUCUCUCUCUCUCUCUCUC